rnacentral:rRNA from 1 species
UACGUAGGGAGCAAGCGUUGUCCGGAAUCAUUGGGCGUAAAGCGCGCGUAGGCGGCCUCGUAAGUCCGUUGUGAAAGUCAAAGGCUCAACCUUUGAAAGCCGAUGGAUACUGUGAGGCUAGAGUCCGGAAGAGGCGAGUGGAAUUCCUGGUGUAGCGGUGGAAUGCGCAGAGAUCGGGAGGAACACCCGUAGCGAAGGCGGCACUCUGGGCCGGUACUGACGCUGAGGAGCGAAAGCGUGGGGAGCAAACAGG